GUACUGCUGACGAGUCCCAAACAAAACAAAACAGCUGUCCAGUGC
rnacentral:hammerhead_ribozyme from 1 species